rnacentral:ncRNA from 1 species
UCCUGAAAACUCUAAAGGCACAAAGAUUUGGUCCUGAUCUUAUUAUCAGCUUUUUCUAAACUUACACAUGCAAGUCUCAGCACACCCGUGAGGACGCCCUUCCACCUAUACCAGCACAAGGAGCCGAUAUCAGGCACUAAAAAUUGCCCAAUACAUCUAGUCUUACCACACCCACAAGGGAUACAGCAGUGAUAAACAUUGUCCAUAAGCGACAGCUUGAUCCAGUUAUAGAAAAAAGAGCUGGCCAACUCGGUGCCAGCCGCCGCGGCUAAACCGCAUGAACUCAAGUUGAUACUUAUCGGCGUUAAGCGUGAUUAAAGAUCCUUACAAACUAGAAUAAAAUUAAUACUUAGCUGUGACAAGCUUGCUAUUAAAGAAAACCAAAAACGAAAGUUAUUCUAGUAUACUUGAACCCACGAUAGUUGAGAGACAAACUGGGAUUAGAUACCCCACUAUGCUCAACCGUAAAAUAUAAACUUACAACAUCAACGCCAGGGAAUUACGAGCCUAGCUUAAAACCCAAAGGACUUGACGGUGUCCCAUCCAACUAGAGGAGCCUGUUCUAUAAUCGAUAAUCCCCGAUUUACCCAACCCUAUUUUGUUACUCAGCCUGUAUACCUCCGUCGUAAGCUUACCAUAUGAAUGUUUACAGUAAGUCUAAUGGUCCAACACCAGUACGUCAGGUCAAGGUGCAGCUUAUAAUAGGGAAAGAAAUGGGCUACAGUUUCUAACCUAGAACACACGAAAUGCUUUAUGAAACACGGCCACGAAGGUGGAUUUAGCAGUAAAAAAGGAAUAAUGUGCCCUUUUUAAUAAGGCCCUGGGACGUGUACACACCGCCCGUCACCCUCUUCGACAACCUACUAUUUGUAUUUAACAAGAAUACCUUUUUUAGAAGAGGCAAGUCGUAACAUGGUAAGUGUACCGGAAGGUGCACUUGGAUUAACAAAAUAUAGCUUAACUAAAGCCCCUCGCUUACACCGAGAAAAUACCUAUGAAAAUUAGGUUGUUUUGAGCCUAAAGUUUAGCCUAAUAAAAUCUUCUGCACACCAUAACCAUAACUUUCUAAAUAAAACAUUUUGUUAGUCUAGUAGAGGUGAUCAAAAAACUUAUUAGAGCCAUAUCGUUAGUACCGCAAGGGAAAAAUGAAAUAGCUUUGAAAUAGAAUUAAAGCAAUAUACAGCAGAGAUUAUACCUCAUACCUUUUGCAUCAUGGUUUAGCUAGUCUGCAUCAAGCGAAGCGAAACAUCAGUUUGACCCCCCGAAACUAGACGAGCUACUUUAGAACAGCUUAAUGGAGCCAACCCGUCUCUGUUGCAAAAGAGUGGGAUGAUUCUAAAGUAGAGGUGAAAAGCCUACCGAGCCUAGAGAUAGCUGGUUACUUAAGAAAGGAAUUUUAGUUCAGCCUCAAUUCUCUACAUUAAUACAACAAACUACUAAGACUUGAGAGCCAUUCAAAUAAGGCACAGCUUAUUUGAUAAAGGAUACAGCCUAUAAAAAAGGGUAAAAAUAUUUUCAUUAAAUCAAGUGGGCCUAAAAGCAGCCACCUUUAAAAAAGCGUUAAAGCUUCAUCUUUUCCUAUAAAUAAUACCAUAUAGCUUUUUAAGCCCUUUAUCUCUAUUAAGUAAUUCUAUAUUUAUAUAAAAGUUUUUAUGCUAAAACUAGUAACAAGAAAUUGUCUUUUCUCCAAAAUUUAUGCAUAUACCAAAAUGGACUAACCAUUGGUAAUUAACGUUAUUAAACUCAAUAUAGCAACCUCCCUAGAAAACACUAUACUAUUGCACGUUAACCUUACACAAGCAAAUUUCUGGAAAGAUUAAAAGAAAGAGAAGGAACUCGGCAAAUCUUAACCCCGCCUGUUUACCAAAAACAUCGCCUCUUGAUAAAAUAUAAGAGGUCCAGCCUGCCCAGUGAUAUACUUAAACGGCCGCGGUACCCUGACCGUGCAAAGGUAGCAUAAUCAUUUGUUCUUUAAAUAAGGACUUGUAUCAACGGCAUUACGAGGGUUCUACUGUCUCCCCUUUCUAAUCAGUGAAACUGACCUCCCCGUGAAGAGGCGGGGAUAAAAAUACAAGACGAGAAGACCCCAUGGAGCUUUAAACCCAAUAACAACUCUUCCUAAUUAAACCUUAAAGAUUUAGAUACACUGUUUAUUGGUUUUAGGUUGGGGUGACCACGGAGUAAAAUUUAACCUCCUUGACGAACAGAUUUUUAUCUUUAUCUAAGAGCUACUGCUCAAAGAAUCAAAAAUUUGACGUUACAUGAUCCGGCAACCGAUCAACGAACCAAGUUACCCUGGGGAUAACAGCGCAAUCCAUUUCAAGAGCCCCUAUCGACAAAUGGGUUUACGACCUCGAUGUUGGAUCAGGGUAUCCCAGUGGUGCAGCCGCUACUAAAGGUUUGUUUGUUCAACAAUUAAA